AGAGUUUGAUUAUGGCUCAGGACCAUCGCUGGCGGCGUGCUUAACACAUGCAAGUCGAACGGCCCAUUACACGGAGAUGCGAUUUCGGUCAAAUCAAGUGCAAUCUUAGUGGCGGACGGGUGAGUAACGCGUGGGUAACCUGCCUUGCACUGGGGGAUAACACUUAGAAAUAGGUGCUAAUACCGCAUAAGCGCACGGUCCUGCAUGGGACAGUGUGAAAAACUCCGGUGGUGCAAGAUGGACCCGCGUCUGAUUAGCUGGUUGGCGGGGUAAAGGCCCACCAAGGCGACGAUCAGUAGCCGGCCUGAGAGGGUGGACGGCCACAUUGGGACUGAGACACGGCCCAAACUCCUGCGGGAGGCAGCAGUGGGGGAUAUUGGACAAUGGGGGGAACCCUGAUCCAGCGACGCCGCGUGAGUGAAGAAGUAUUUCGGUAUGUAAAGCUCUGUCAGCAGGGAAGAAAGCAAUGACGGUACCUGACCAAGAAGCCCCGGCUAACUACGUGCCAGCAGCCGCGGUAAUACGUAGGGGGCAAGCGUUAUCCGGAAUUACUGGGUGUACAGGGAGCGUAAACGGCUGUGCAAGUCUGGAGUGAAAGGCGGGGGCCCAACCCCCGGACUGCUCUGGAAACUGUAUGGCUGGAGUGCACGAUAAGUAAUCGGAAUUCCUAGUGUAUCGUUGAAAUGCGUACAUAUUAAGAGGAACACCAGUGGCGAAGGCGGCUUACUGGAAUGCAACUGACGUCGAGGCUCCCCAAGCGUGGGGAGCAAACCACGAUUAAAUUUCCUGGCUAUC
rnacentral:rRNA from 1 species